rnacentral:rRNA from 1 species
CUUCGCCAGAAAAUUACGGGCAAAAGCCUAAAACUCAAAAGACUUGACGGUGUCCUAACCUACUUAGAGGAGCCUGUUUCAUAAUCGAUAACCCACGAUAAACCAAACCACUCUUUGAAUAUCUCAGCCUAUAUACCGCCGUCACCAGCUUACCUUUUAAAAGAACCAAAGUAAGCUCAAGAGUCUUACACUAAUAAGUCAGGUCAAGGUGUAGCACAUAGAGUGGAGAAAAUGGGCUACAUUAUUUAAUUUUAAAUACACGGACUUUUACCCUGAAAAAGAACUCAAAGGCGGAUUUAAUAGUAAUUUAAAAAAGAAUAUUUAAAUUAA